GGGUUGUGAGGUUAAGCGACUAAGCGUACACGGUGGAUGCCCUGGCAGUCAGAGGCGAUGAAGGACGUGCUAAUCUGCGAUAAGCGUCGGUGAGGUGAUAUGAACCGUUAUAACCGGCGAUUUCCGAAUGGGGAAACCCAGUGUGUUUCGACACACUAUCAUUAACUGAAUCCAUAGGUUAAUGAGGCGAACCGGGGAACUGAAACAUCUAAGUACCCCGAGGAAAAGAAAUCAACCGAGAUUCCCCAGUAGCGGCGAGCGAACGGGGAGGAGCCCAGAGCCUGAAUCAGUGUGUGUGUUAGUGGAAGCGUCUGGAAAGGCGUGCGAUACAGGGUGACAGCCCCGUACACAAAAAUGCACAUAUUGUGAGCUCGAUGAGUAGGGCGGGACACGUGGUAUCCUGUCUGAAUAUGGGGGACCAUCCUCCAAGGCUAAAUACUCCUGACUGACCGAUAGUGAACCAGUACCGUGAGGGAAAGGCGAAAAGAACCCGGCGAGGGGAGUGAAAAAGAACCUGAAACCGUGUACGUACAAGCAGUGGGAGCCUCUUAAUGGGGUGACUGCGUACCUUUUGUAUAAUGGGUCAGCGACUUAUAUUCUGUAGCAAGGUUAACCGAAUAGGGGAGCCGAAGGGAAACCGAGUCUUAACUGGGCGUUAAGUUGCAGGGUAUAGACCCGAAACCCGGUGAUCUAGCCAUGGGCAGGUUGAAGGUUGGGUAACACUAACUGGAGGACCGAACCGACUAAUGUUGAAAAAUUAGCGGAUGACUUGUGGCUGGGGGUGAAAGGCCAAUCAAACCGGGAGAUAGCUGGUUCUCCCCGAAAGCUAUUUAGGUAGCGCCUCGUGAAUUCAUCUCCGGGGGUAGAGCACUGUUUCGGCAAGGGGGUCAUCCCGACUUACCAACCCGAUGCAAACUGCGAAUACCGGAGAAUGUUAUCACGGGAGACACACGGCGGGUGCUAACGUCCGUCGUGAAGAGGGAAACAACCCAGACCGCCAGCUAAGGUCCCAAAGUCAUGGUUAAGUGGGAAACGAUGUGGGAAGGCCCAGACAGCCAGGAUGUUGGCUUAGAAGCAGCCAUCAUUUAAAGAAAGCGUAAUAGCUCACUGGUCGAGUCGGCCUGCGCGGAAGAUGUAACGGGGCUAAACCAUGCACCGAAGCUGCGGCAGCGACACUAUGUGUUGUUGGGUAGGGGAGCGUUCUGUAAGCCUGUGAAGGUGGCCUGUGAGGGUUGCUGGAGGUAUCAGAAGUGCGAAUGCUGACAUAAGUAACGAUAAAGCGGGUGAAAAGCCCGCUCGCCGGAAGACCAAGGGUUCCUGUCCAACGUUAAUCGGGGCAGGGUGAGUCGACCCUAAGGCGAGGCCGAAAGGCGUAGUCGAUGGGAAACAGGUUAAUAUUCCUGUACUUGGUGUUACUGCGAAGGGGGACGGAGAAGGCUAUGUUGGCCGGGCGACGGUUGUCCCGGUUUAAGCGUGUAGGCUGGUUUUCCAGGCAAAUCCGGAAAACCAAGGCUGAGGCGUGAUGACGAGGCACUACGGUGCUGAAGCGACAAAUGCCCUGCUUCCAGGAAAAGCCUCUAAGCAUCAGGUAACAUCAAAUCGUACCCCAAACCGACACAGGUGGUCAGGUAGAGAAUACCAAGGCGCUUGAGAGAACUCGGGUGAAGGAACUAGGCAAAAUGGUGCCGUAACUUCGGGAGAAGGCACGCUGAUAUGUAGGUGAAGCGACUUGCUCGUGGAGCUGAAAUCAGUCGAAGAUACCAGCUGGCUGCAACUGUUUAUUAAAAACACAGCACUGUGCAAACACGAAAGUGGACGUAUACGGUGUGACGCCUGCCCGGUGCCGGAAGGUUAAUUGAUGGGUUAGCGGCAACGCGAAGCUCUUGAUCGAAGCCCGGUAAACGGCGGCCGUAACUAUAACGGUCCUAAGGUAGCGAAAUUCCUUGUCGGGUAAGUUCCGACCUGCACGAAUGGCGUAAUGAUGGCCAGGCUGUCUCCACCCGAGACUCAGUGAAAUUGAACUCGCUGUGAAGAUGCAGUGUACCCGCGGCAAGACGGAAAGACCCCGUGAACCUUUACUAUAGCUUGACACUGAACAUUGAGCCUUGAUGUGUAGGAUAGGUGGGAGGCUUUGAAGUGUGGACGCCAGUCUGCAUGGAGCCGACCUUGAAAUACCACCCUUUAAUGUUUGAUGUUCUAACGUUGGCCCGUAAUCCGGGUUGCGGACAGUGUCUGGUGGGUAGUUUGACUGGGGCGGUCUCCUCCUAAAGAGUAACGGAGGAGCACGAAGGUUGGCUAAUCCUGGUCGGACAUCAGGAGGUUAGUGCAAUGGCAUAAGCCAGCUUGACUGCGAGCGUGACGGCGCGAGCAGGUGCGAAAGCAGGUCAUAGUGAUCCGGUGGUUCUGAAUGGAAGGGCCAUCGCUCAACGGAUAAAAGGUACUCCGGGGAUAACAGGCUGAUACCGCCCAAGAGUUCAUAUCGACGGCGGUGUUUGGCACCUCGAUGUCGGCUCAUCACAUCCUGGGCUGAAGUAGGUCCCAAGGGUAUGGCUGUUCGCCAUUUAAAGUGGUACGCGAGCUGGGUUUAGAACGUCGUGAGACAGUUCGGUCCCUAUCUGCCGUGGGCGCUGGAGAACUGAGGGGGCUGCUCCUAGUACGAGAGGACCGGAGUGGACGCAUCACUGGUGUUCGGGUUGUCAUGCCAAUGGCACUGCCCGGUAGCUAAAUGCGGAAGAGAUAAGUGCUGAAAGCAUCUAAGCACGAAACUUGCCCCGAGAUGAGUUCUCCCUGACUCCUUGAGAGUCCUGAAGGAACGUUGAAGACGACGACGUUGAUAGGCCGGGUGUGUAAGCGCAGCGAUGCGUUGAGCUAACCGGUACUAAUGAACCGUGAGGCUUAACCUUACAACGCCGAAG
rnacentral:rRNA from 1 species